AGCCGUCCUUGAAAUACCACCCUGGUUUGUUUGAGGUUCUAACCUUGGUCCGUUAUCCGGAUCGGGGACAGUGCAUGGUAGGCAGUUUGACUGGGGCGGUCUCCUCCCAAAGCGUAACGGAGGAGCACAAAGGUGGGCUAAGCAUGGUCGGACAUCAUGCGGUUAGUGUAAUGGCACAAGCCCGCUUAACUGCGAGACAGACACGUCGAGCAGGUACGAAAGUAGGUCAUAGUGAUCCGGUGGUUCUGUAUGGAAGGGCCAUCGCUCAACGGAUAAAAGGUACUCCGGGGAUAACAGGCUGAUACCGCCCAAGAGUUCACAUCGACGGCGGUGUUUGGCACCUCGAUGUCGGCUCAUCACAUCCUGGGGCUGAAGCCGGUCCCAAGGGUAUGGCUGUUCGCCAUUUAAAGUGGUACGCGAGCUGGGUUUAGAACGUCGUGAGACAGUUCGGUCCCUAUCUGCCGUGGGCGUUGGAAAUUUGAAGGGGGCUGCUCCUAGUACGAGAGGACCGGAGUGGACG
rnacentral:rRNA from 13 species